GACGAACGCUGGCGGCGUGCUUAACACAUGCAAGUCGAACGGAAAGGCCCUGCUUUUGUGGGGUGCUCGAGUGGCGAACGGGUGAGUAACACGUGAGUAACCUGCCCUUGACUUUGGGAUAACUUCAGGAAACUGGGGCUAAUACCGGAUAGGAGCUCCUGCUGCAUGGUGGGGGUUGGAAAGUUUCGGCGGUUGGGGAUGGACUCGCGGCUUAUCAGCUUGUUGGUGGGGUAGUGGCUUACCAAGGCUUUGACGGGUAGCCGGCCUGAGAGGGUGACCGGCCACAUUGGGACUGAGAUACGGCCCAGACUCCUACGGGAGGCAGAAGUGGGGAAUAUUGCACAAUGGGCGGAAGCCUGAUGCAGCAACGCCGCGUGCGGGAUGACGGCCUUCGGGUUGUAAACCUCUUUCGCCUGUGACGAAGCGUGAGUGACGGUAAUGGGUAAAGAAGCACCGGCUAACUACGUG
rnacentral:rRNA from 1 species